UUUCACCAACUAGACCUCAAUAUGAUUCAAAAUUUUUCACCAAUCACAAUUUCAAAUCUCUUUCUCUCUCUUACUUCUCUACUCCUCUCUUUCUCUUUCUACCAAUUCUAUCUUGCUUUCAAAAAUUCUUGAAGCUUCUCCAUCUCUACAAUGGCAGAAUUGCAGUUCGGUGAAGGAGGCAUCGCAGAGGAGGAGGAGGAUUUCUUUGCAGUGAUUGAUCAAUAGAAACUCAGUGAUCCUCAUCACCACUGAAAACCAGGCACAACUGCUAAAUGGUGGAAUCGAGACAUUCAAAAUCAUUGGAAUGUUGGGAGAAUUUAGCUGUUGAAACACUCGGCUAGCAUGUACCGAACACGUCUCAACAGAGUGUGCCAGGCAUUAGUUGGUGUCAUUUCUUUCUGGAUUUCCAACAAUUGGAGUCGUCAGUUUCUCAUAGCAAUCCAUGUCGGCAGCUCAGUUGCGGACAUAGAGAAAUUUGCUACGAAGUUUGCAAGUACUUCAGAAAUAAAAAGAUCCAUCACCUUAUUGGAGAAAAAGAUCAUAAUCUAUGUGGACAGAGAGCAACUUUAUUUCAACCAGUUUGCACAAGUUGAGUUUGAUGACUACAAAUUCACUCAACAAAUGUUUGAUCAUUGGAAGAAGAAACCAAAAAAGGGAACGUCCCACUAUGAAGGAACCACAGCUAAAUCCAUUAAAUCAGCUAAGAAGGAAGUACAUUUCUAGGUUUCUUUACAUGAUCGGGCUAAAAAGAUGUUGCAGAAGAUCGCAUGGAACUGGGAUCCUAACCUGAGUGAAUUCAGUUUUGUUCUGCGAAUUACAAAUGAUUGGAAAGCAGUUAGUUACUUAAGGAAAGAAGGUGUUUGGAAAGGAACUAAAGUACUUUAUCACACAAUGACAAAAACAGACAAGGAUUCCAUUGAGAGUUCUGAGACAGAAGUUGCUGCAAUAAAAAGGACCUAGACAGAAGCCGUUUAUGGACACGAUCACUUAUCCACCAAUACAUCCUACCAUGCGCUUAUCAUACCCGCUCUAGCUGUUGUUACACUUCUUUGCUUUUUCUGUGUUUUCAUUGGGUCAGUUAUG